AUGAAAGCUAUCCAAAGAACAGCAUUCUUCUUUGCAUUGCAGAUUUCAUGAGAAACUCCCCUGUGUAGAUCAUUGGAACAGCUCGUAUCUACAUGGCAGAACAUUUAAGCAUGCAGUUAUAGACACAUUGAAGUGCAUUUCCAAAUGCUUUGAUGAUUCUGGCUCGUUGUUGGAUCCUAAGGGCUGAGAAAGGAAAUAGGACAUAUCCAAGCUUAGGUUUUGGCUGGAAGAUGUUUGGGGAAAUUUGUCUUUCAAUAUAGAUAUAGAAAGCUAGCAAAGCUCUGGUACAGGGCGAGAAUUCAAACCUUGGAAAGUAGGAUUUGACCUGUACACACAAAUAUGUAAUUCUUUUUCAUAAGAACAACAACAACAACAAAAAAUCCAUUUAUAGAAACUAUUGUUCUGGGGAGGUAAACAAGCUACAUGGAUCUGAGAAAAAAAAUGGUGCAUGUCUACAUAAAGAAUAAGGAGCAAUCGCUUGCCUCUGCAAAUCAAUAAAAGUCAAGAAAUUCCAAAAGGUAGAAGCUUCAGACCAUAGAAAAGACGCUAGAGAUAACAUUUCUCUGCAAUUUUGUCUCUGGCUUUGAGCAAAGCUGACUGACAACAGAAUGAAGUACAAAGGCCUUGGAUAUAAUAUACUGCUCCUGUAGACUGCAAUGGUCUCUGCAGGCUCCAGCAUAGAUAUGAUGGACAUGUGUAUAGAUUCUGUGGACAUCCUCGGGAAAAAACUCCAGCCAUGAUUGGACCAGCUGCUUUUUUAAUGACAAGGUGUCCCUUUGUACACCUGACUGUGAAGCCUUGUACUUCUCAUCUGAUUAUCACGAAUGUUGGCUUUGUCACCAUAGCGCUGCCUCAGAACUUCUGGAGCCGAGUCUCCUUGCGCACUGCAGUGUCAACUGCCACAGCACUGAUGUACCUCUGGGUGAACAAGGACUGCAUAAAAUGAAAGGUUGCCUGUGACUGAAUAAAAGUGAGAAAAUGACCACUGCAGAAAUCAGGAGAACAGCAGAUUAUGAAAUAAAAUAUGGCUAAUUGUCUGGAGACAAUAAGCAAGUCAUUGCCUCAUGUCCAAAGGCUGAAUAUAGCAACUUUGCAAUGGAUCCUCUCAGUCUGAUGGAUUACCUUUCCAAUGGGGAAGAUGAAAGUACGUCUAUGUUUGGUAUAUAUAGUUGAUGAAAUUAUUGAACCAUCUAAUCAUUUUUUAUUUCUGAGAAAGAUUUAAAGAAUACAGGUUGUAUAGAAUAAAUAUUGAGCUACUGAAUGACUCAUUAAUAUAGAAUGCACAUUUUCAUUGGCCUAGAGGUGGAUUGUCAAAUGAUUUAUCAGCAAAAAUAUGUGACUCUUCAUUGCUGAAGAACUUUGCAUAUAUAUUAGAUUUAUUGAGUUAAGC
ensembl:lncRNA